GACGAACGCUGGCGGCGUGCUUAACACAUGCAAGUCGAACGGAAAGGCCCUGCUUUUGUGGGGUGCUCGAGUGGCGAACGGGUGAGUAACACGUGAGUAACCUGCCCUUGACUUUGGGAUAACUUCAGGAAACUGGGGCUAAUACCGGAUAGGAGCUCCUGCUGCAUGGUGGGGGUUGGAAAGUUUCGGCGGCUGGGGAUGGACUCGCGGCUUAUCAGCUUGUUGGUGGGGUAGUGGCUUACCAAGGCUUUGACGGGUAGCCGGCCUGAGAGGGUGACCGGCCACAUUGGGACUGUGAUACGGCCCAGACUCCUACGGGAGGCAGCAGUGGAGAAUAUUGCACAAUGGGCCGAAGCCUGAUGCAGCAACGCCGCGUGCGGGAUGACGGCCUUCGGGUUGUAAACCGCUUUCGCCUGUGACGAAGCGUGAGUGACGGUAAUGGGUAAAGAAGCACCGGCUAACUACGUG
rnacentral:rRNA from 1 species